CGGGCGGGUGAGUAAUGUCUGGGAAACUGCCUGAUGGAGGGGGAUAACUACUGGAAACGGUAGCUAAUACCGCAUAACGUCGCAAGACCAAAGAGGGGGACCUUAGGGCCUCUUGCCAUCGGAUGUGCCCAGAUGGGAUUAGCUAGUAGGUGGGGUAACGGCUCACCUAGGCGACGAUCCCUAGCUGGUCUGAGAGGAUGACCAGCCACACUGGAACUGAGACACGGUCCAG
rnacentral:rRNA from 1 species